rnacentral:rRNA from 1 species
GUGGGGAAUAUUGGACAAUGGGGGGAACCCUGAUCCAGCCAUGCCGCGUGUGUGAAGAAGGCCUUUUGGUUGUAAAGCACUUUAAGCGAGGAGGAGGCUACCGAGAUUAAUACUCUUGGAUAGUGGACGUUACUCGCAGAAUAAGCACCGGCUAACUCUGUGCCAGCAGCCGCGGUAAUACAGAGGGUGCAAGCGUUAAUCGGAUUUACUGGGCGUAAAGCGCGCGUAGGUGGCCAAUUAAGUCAAAUGUGAAAGCCCCGAGCUUAACUUGGGAAUUGCAUUCGAUACUGGUUGGCUAGAGUAUGGGAGAGGAUGGUAGAAUUCCAGGUGUAGCGGUGAAAUGCGUAGAGAUCUGGAGGAAUACCGAUGGCGAAGGCAGCCAUCUGGCCUAAUACUGACACUGAGGUGCGAAAGCAUGGGGAGCAAACAGGAUUAGAAACCCUUGUAGUCC